rnacentral:rRNA from 1 species
AAAUUUAAACACUUUUUAAAGUAUCAAUUGGAGGGCAAGUCUGGUGCCAGCAGCCGCGGUAAUUCCAAAGCUCCAAUAGCGUAUAUUAAAAUUGUUGCAGUUAAAAAGCUCGUAGUUGAAUUUCUGCUAUAAAUAACCAGUCUGCUUUUAAUAGAAGUAGUACCUUGGUCUGUUUUUAGCAAUAAUGUCCUUUGAAAUGUUUUUUACUUUAUUGUAAUAAAUUAUAUUCAGGAUUUUUACUUUGAGAAAAUUAGAGUGUUUAUAGCAGGCUAACGCUUUGAAUACUGCAGCAUGGAAUAAUAAAAUAGGAUUUUGGUUUUACAUUUUUGGUUUUAAGAGCUAAAUUAAUGAUUGAUAGGGACAGUUGGGGGCAUUUGUAUUUAACUGUCAGAGGUGAAAUUGUUAGAUUUGUUAAAGACAAACUACUGCGAAAGCAUUUGUCAAAGAUGUUUUCAUUAAUCAAGAACGAAAGUUAGGGGAUCGAAGACGAUCAGAUACCGU